GCCCUCUUAGCUCAGUGGUAGUAGCGCGUCACUAGUAAUGACGAGGUCGGUCGUUCAAAUCGGCCAGGGGGCA
rfam:Sphaerobolus stellatus SS14 unplaced genomic scaffold SPHSTscaffold_441, whole genome shotgun sequence.